UUUCAGGAAGAGCUGCACUCUUAGCCAAUCAGAGAUCAGCUUGGAGGUAAAUAGGGAAGGAGAACGAGGAGCACCUGAUGAAGAAGAGAGGGGCGUGUGAAGCCAGCUGAGUGUGGAAAACUAAGUUCAUUGUCGAGGUGAUUAAUAUUUGUCAACUAAAAUACUUCUAAAGAACCAGCACAAAUAUUAUCUUGCAGAUAAAAACCGUGUGUAUCUCGCGGUUCAGUAACUCGUUUUUUCCGGGAAGUUUCAAAGCGGAAGUGCAGCCAGGUUAACAGCGUCUGUUGUUUUCCCACUAACUUUGUAAGAAGUGUAACUCGGAUUGUAAAACGUGAACGUUUAAGCUAGCAACGUCGUGAGGGGCAGUCAGCUGUACACGCCAGCCGAAUGUUUUCGCCGUGGACUGGAGGAAACGAGGACGCCGUUGUGAGCACCGCGUUGAUUAGCAUCUUUUGCUAAUGCUCGCGAGGACAGACUCGGCCACUGGACCUGCUUCAGGACACAAGACAUCUACCUGUGCGCCUCACCUGCUACUGCGUCAUCUACCUGCUCGUGGACUCUUCUGAACUGCGCCGAGGUGUGGGAUCCACAGUCCUCAGUGAUGAUCUAAUCCGUCCAGUUCCACAGUUUCCAUCGACCUCCGUGGGCUUGACAAGAUGGACGUCUGGCUGUGCGAGAUUACUGCUGACCAAUAUGAAAGAUUUAUCACUUCCUGUGUACCAUUUAUUUUAUUUUUUAUUUUCCAAAUAAACCACUCACAACGCCGGCUGUCUGCAGAAGUAUGUUGUAAAAGUGGCAGUAAAUUGGCUUAAGAGUGAAUCAUCGCUGUGUUACAUCAGUCACUGACAGGAGGAAACUGGGCAUUUAUUUACAUGAAGCAUUCGAAGAGGACUGCUUAAGGGUUUGUCGAGGUGGAAGAAUUGCAUUUGGUCUGUAUGCCACCGUUUGAACCUUAUUUUCAACAUUUACAUGAACUGGCGCUGCGGGGCAAAGGUGCAGGGGGACGUCAGGAUUACAGUGUCAGUGCGGAUGAUGAGCUUAUGACCACCAGGUAACAGACAGUGCAGUCAGCGAUGCACAAACAUGAGUGUGCACAACAUAAGACUGCAGAGGCAAAGCCGUGCAGCACCAAAACACUGAGUGAUUUCAAAGUCGCACCGUGUCGUCGUCGUCUCCCCCCCCCCCGUGAGAAGCCAGUCAUCCAGCGUGGAGCCAAGAGGCAAUCCUCCCGGGGCGGAACCAUAUCUGUGCUUUUCUCAUGUCCCAGACAAGAAUAUAUUUUCUUCUGCUACACACCGAAGGGGGGGGGGGUAGAGGUAGACAACACAUUCAACUCUGUCCCUUGAUGUGUACAGUGUAUAGUUGUGUGUGUGCAAGAGAAAAUGAAGAAGAAAAAACAAAGAGAGACGGAGACAUCAAGAGAGAGCCAGAGCACAUGUAUGUAGGAGUGCUUCUAUCUCAUGCUUGGCCCGGCUCCAUUGCUACUGGCUGUACAGUGUAAUUUCACUGCUUGUUUGAUUCGGCGCUGAAAAUUGUAAGCAGCUGACUCAUCUAUUAUUCCCUCUUUCUCCUCACUCUGCAAAUGGAUAAACCCUCUUCUUUUCCUUCAGCUGCAAAACUGCCUCUCUGUCAUUACCCAACCCUCUCCAUCUCUCUCUUCCUCUCUCUUGUCAUGGCAACAGUAUUCUCUCGUGUAGUAUUUGCUCUGCAGCACACGGCGAGUUCGCAUUGUCCCGCAGUCACCCGCGCCCACAUAUCAACAGGCAGGCCGGCUGUACUGUACUGAAAAAGUCAUUGUUAUGCAACCUAUGUUAUGUUGCCUGCUGCUCUGUCGGUCUGUCUGUUCAUCGCUCUCCACUUAUUCUUCACGUGUCUGCUUGCCUCCUCUGAGCUUGUUCUAGGUCACAUCCUAACAGCUUUGUCAGGCAUUGUCAAAAAAAAAAAAGCAUGCAUGUUUUAUAGAAAGACUUGUUCUAGUUUGGUGAAAAAGCAAAUUUAUGAGUCAUCUUUUGGUAUAACCGAGCAAGGCAUUUUGACAUUGAAUAGAUUGUUGACACAGAAGUCUGCGAUGAAAACCUGUGUGAAUAGAGCCUGAAAACCAGAGAUGUGACAUGCGCAGUCGUCCAAAGCUGCUGCAUGUUCUGUGAAAAUUGGAGCAAGAGUAAAUAAAUAUCUACAUGAUAUAAGUUCAGAACAGUUACAUGAAAGCUAUGACUAGAAAAAGCAUUUUUUCUAAAGUCUCCUGUAUUUAUUGUGAAGCUGUAAAGAGCUGUAUAUGACAGUGUACACACGUACUUGUGUGUCAGUAGGAGUGUGUGGGGUCCUCUGUUUUUCUGCAUAUGCAUAUUUAGUCACACUGAAAAAUGGUAAGCAGGUUAUGUGUGAGCCUGUGUGAGGCGGGAGUCGAGAGCCUCCUCUUUAUUUUGUGCCCCUGUCU